GGAAAAGUAACUCAGUUGAUAGAGUGCUUGCCUAGCAUGCAAAAGGCCCAAGGUUCCAUUCCUGGCUCCA
rnacentral:tRNA from 1 species